rnacentral:rRNA from 1 species
GAGUUUGAUCGUGGCUCAGAUUGAACGCUGGCGGCAGGCCUAACACAUGCAAGUCGAGCGGAUGACGGGAGCUUGCUCCUUGAUUCAGCGGCGGACGGGUGAGUAAUGCCUAGGAAUCUGCCUGGUAGUGGGGGACAACGUUUCGAAAGGAACGCUAAUACCGCAUACGUCCUACGGGAGAAAGCAGGGGACCUUCGGGCCUUGCGCUAUCAGAUGAGCCUAGGUCGGAUUAGCUAGUUGGUGGGGUAAUGGCUCACCAAGGCGACGAUCCGUAACUGGUCUGAGAGGAUGAUCAGUCACACUGGAACUGAGACACGGUCCAGACUCCUACGGGAGGCAGCAGUGGGGAUAUUGGACAAUGGGCGAAAGCCUGAUCCAGCCAUGCCGCGUGUGUGAAGAAGGUCUUCGGAUUGUAAAGCACUUUAAGUU